CUCCAGACUCCUACGGGAGGCAGCAGUGGGGGAUAUUGCACAAUGGGGGAAACCCUGAUGCAGCGACGCCGCGUGGGUGAAGAAGCGCCUCGGCGCGUAAAGCCCUGUCAGCAGGGAAGAAAAUGACGGUACCUGAAGAAGAAGCCCCGGCUAACUACGUGCCAGCAGCCGCGGUAAUACGUAGGGGGCAAGCGUUAUCCGGAUUUACUGGGUGUAAAGGGAGCGCAGGCGGCAUGGCAAGUCUGAUGUGAAAACCCGGGGCCCAACCCCGGGAGUGCAUUGGAAACUGCCAGGCUGGAGUGUCGGAGGGGUAAGCGGAAUUCCUAGUGUAGCGGUGAAAUGCGUAGAUAUUAGGAGGAACACCAGUGGCGAAGGCGGCUUACUGGACGACUACUGACGCUGAGGCUCGAAAGCGUGGGGAGCAAACAGGAUUAGAUACCCGGGUAC
rnacentral:rRNA from 1 species